rnacentral:rRNA from 1 species
CCAGAUUCCUACGGGGGGAGCAGUAGGGAUUCUUCACAAUGGACGAAAGUUUGAUGGAGCAACGCCGCCUGAGUGAAGAAGGUUUUCGGAUCGUAAAACUCUGGUGUUGGAGAAGAAUGUAUCUGAUAGUAACUGAUCAGGUAGUGACGGUAUCCAACCAGAAAGCCACGGCUAACUACGUGCCAGCAGCCGCGGUAAUACGUAGGUGGCAAGCGUUGUCCGGAUUUAUUGGGCGUAAAGCGAGCGCAGGCGGUUUCUUAAGUCUGAUGUGAAAGCCUUCGGCUCAACCGAAGAAGUGCAUCGGAAACUGGGAAACUUGAGUGCAGAAGAGGACAGUGGAACUCCAUGUGUAGCGGUGAAAUGCGUAGAUAUAUGGAAGAACACCAGUGGCGAAGGCGGCUGUCUGGUCUGUAACUGACGCUGAGGCUCGAAAGCAUGGGUAGCAAACAGGAUUAGAUACCCUGGUAGUCCAUGCCGUAAACGAUGAGUGCUAGGUGUUGGAGGGUUUCCGCCCUUCAGUGCCGCAGCUAACGCAUUAAGCACUCCGCCUGGGGAGUACGACCGCAAGGUUGAAACUCAAAGGAAUUGACGGGGGCCCGCACAAGCGGUGGAGCAUGUGGUUUAAUUCGAAGCAACGCGAAGAACCUUACCAGGUCUUGACAUCCUUUGACCACUCUAGAGAUAGAGCUUUCCCUUCGGGGACAAAGUGACAGGUGGUGCAUGGUUGUCGUCAGCUCGUGUCGUGAGAUGUUGGGUUAAGUCCCGCAACGAGCGCAACCCUUAUUACUAGUUGCCAGCAUUUAGUUGGGCACUCUAGUGAGACUGCCGGUGACAAACCGGAGGAAGGUGGGGACGACGUCAAAUCAUCAUGCCCCUUAUGACCUGGGCUACACACGUGCUACAAUGGAUGGUACAACGAGUUGCGAGACCGCGAGGUUUAGCUAAUCUCUUAAAACCAUUCUCAGUUCGGAUUGUAGGCUGCAACUCGCCUACAUGAAGCCGGAAUCGCUAGUAAUCGCGGAUCAGCAUGCCGCGGUGAAUACGUUCCCGGGCCUUGUACACACCGCCCGUCACACCAUGAGAGUUUGUAACACCCAAAGCCGGUGAGGUAACCCUUCGGGGAGCCAGCCGUCUAAG